rnacentral:rRNA from 1 species
GAAUGUGGCACCUUCGGGUGUGUUAUAGCUUCUGGUCGUAUACAUCGGUUGGGAUUGAGGAACUCAGCACGCCGCAAGGUCGGGGUUCGCCCACGUUCGUGCUUAGGAUGCUGGCAUAAU